AGAGUUAAAAAGUAUGUGAAAUUGUUGAAAGGGAAACGAUUGAAGUCAGUCGUGCAGUCAUCAACUCAGCGGGUAGCGUUCGUAAUUUAUUGCUUACGUUUUCCGUGUACUUUGUUGUCUGCUGGUUAGCAUCAAUUUUGAUUGUCAUAAAAAGGUUAAGGGGAUGUGGCUCCUUCGGGAGUGUUAUAACCCUUAGCGGAAUGUGGCGAUUGGGAUUGAGGAUUGCAGCGGGUGCCUUUCGAGGCUAAGUGCCUGGCCCUUGUUCGUGGUCGUCUUGGUAACAGCGUGCUGGUGCCGAGCCCGAUCCGUGGACAUGGGGUUUAGCGUCACGGUAAACUCGUUAAGGAUGCUGACGUAAUGGCUUUAAACGACC
rnacentral:rRNA from 1 species